rnacentral:rRNA from 1 species
GGGUGCGAUCAUACCAGCUUUAAUGCGUCGGAUCCCAUCAUAACUCCGCAGUUAAGCGUGCUUGGGCUAGAGUAGUACUGGGAUGGGUGACCUCCCGGGAAGUACUAGUGUUGCACCCU